GCUGUGAAACAGAUGAAAGAGCCAUUGUUUGGUUUGUGUUUUCACCUCUAUCCAGCAGGUGACACUAGGCCAUCAGCUUCGAGGUUCAACGUAUUGUGCUUUCAGCGGUGCUCUUCCUGAUAACGUGGUUGAAUCAAGUCAUCAGAUUGGCUGCCCCUGCUGCUGCAGCUGCUGCGGGCGCUCCGGCUGCGUUCCCGCUGACUGUUUUCCCGCUGGAUCCGUCUCUUCAGUUUGAGUUCAUGGUGAAGGGAAGACUUUCCCUCACUCUGAAGACGGAGGGCAGUUUGAAUGGCUGAAUAGUGAAAGAAUACAUAAAAAUAGUAAUGCAAGUUUGUUGCCUUGCUAUAGAAAAUAAUAUAUUAAAACAAUUAAAAAACAAUAUAUUCCUUCUAUAGCUUCCCUCAGAAAAGACUUCUUGCUAUGAGUUGCAUCUUAGCAAACCCUCAUCAUCACCUUCAUUAUCACCUGGAUCAGCUGCCACACUAUCAUUAAUCUUUGCAGACACCACAUUUGCUGCUAUAAAUAGAAUGAACAGCCUACGAACAAAGCAAAGAUACGAACUACAUGUACACUUUGUUUUUACAUGAGAAAGCCAUGGCAGCAUUCUUUCAUGAAAAAAAAAAGAUGCGUCUCAGUGUUACAAGGCAGAGCUGUAA